UGAGUGCUAGCCAACACUACAGAGCAUGC
rnacentral:piRNA from 1 species